rnacentral:lncRNA from 1 species
CUCCCACUCAGAAUAAGCUGAAUUGCUUUGCAAAUAUAUGCAGAUACAUGCGAAUAACAAAGCCAUUAACAUGUGCACUAAGCCUCAAAGGAAAAGGUUUGCUUUGAUCAAAGCUCAUAAUGGGAUGUAUCCACAGGGCAGGAAAACAGCAUCCUGCUCAGCCCAAACAAGGAAUGGCUCAGACUAGGCCAGAGAGCCUUGCCUUAGAAACCAAUGUUCAUUCCCCUAUCCAGGUACGUGAUGUUUUCCUUGUACUUCCCCCUUCCCAAAGGUGGAACUGUUGUAAAUACCUUCCUCUCUGCUUUACUGCACCAAGGCUGCAAUGAAGAGUUUAAAGUGUGUGUGUGUGUGUGUGUGUUAUUUAACAGUCAUCCCUGUUUCUCAGUGUGAUUCUAGGAGGAGCAGCCUGCAGAGCCAUGAGAAUACCAAUUCUCAGGCAAACCCCUAGAACUAGUGAGGGAGACUAUGCAUGCUAUGAAGAUGUCAGGUAUCUGAAAUAUUAUGGUAAGAAGUCUGAUUUCUCAGUUUACGAGGAAGCCCAUGUGGAGAAGGGGUCUGCAAAAGGUUUAAGAGGAGAGAGAGAGAAGGAAGAAGAAGAAAAGGAAGAAGAAAGAAGGAGGAGGAGGAGGAGGAAGAAGAAGAAGAAGAAGAAGAAGAAGAAGAAGAAGAAGAAGAAGAAGAAG